CUCUAAUUAGAAUCUUUCAUUUAGCAAGUAUCUCCUGAUAACAUUGUUUCUGUUACAUACCAAUCAUUCAUGAAAUCAAGAUUGUAUUGAAGUAUUAGCUUGCCACCAAUGGGGAUUCUUUACAACGGAGUCAGAAACAGUGUUUUAGUCUACAUCAUUAAAGUUACUGAGAAAAAUCUAAUAUGUGCUCUUUAGAGGGGAGAAAGGAGCUGUGACAAAAAAAAUCUCUUAAAUUCAUUAAGCAAUAUAUGAUUGUACAGGAAGGAAGGAUAUUUCAGAGACAGAGAAGGGCAAGAAUAAGAGGUCAUAGUCUGAAGCUAUAGGGUGGUUGGCUCAAGGGAUAUUUAAGGAAGUUUAUAGAAUUACAGACCAGCAGGGGUGGCAGAGGCUAAAUCAAUAAAAUAAUUUGAAAACACAAGGGAUCGACUUAAAGGAAGAGUAAAGGUUAUAUAUGAAGUGUCUUCAUGCUAGAGUUACAUUUAUAUGUUGCUAGAUUAGUUGCUUCAAACCUUUGACAUUUUUUUAUCAAUAUACUGCCAAUUUUCUUUUCCAGGAUGUCACCCUGACUUCCAUUACUUCCAUCUAAAAGUCAUGUCGUACAGAUAGAAAUGUGCUUCUUCUAGUGUUUAGUUUGGGUAUUGCACAGUCCCUAAUAGUGUCAGCAAUGGAGCCCAAACAGUUCUUAAGAGCUGGAGCCGAAAUGUAAUUUGACUGUGUUUAGCCAUAAAAUAAUAUGCUGAAAAUAUUCAAACCUUCCCAGAAUUAAAAAAACAUUUCACAAAAUAUCAUGGUAUGGUGUUUAAUGGUAACCGGACCAGUGUUCAUUUUGGCUGCAAAUUUUAAUUUAGC